ensembl:rRNA 5S_rRNA 5S ribosomal RNA
GUCUAUGGCCAUACCACCCUGAACUCCCCGAUCUCAUCUGGUCUCGGAAGCUAAGCGGGGUCGGGCCUGGUUAGUCCUUGGGUAGCAGAAAACC